AUUGAACGCUGGCGGCAUGCCUUACACAUGCAAGUCGAACGGUAACGGGCCUUCGGGUGCCGACGAGUGGCGAACGGGUGAGUAAUGCAUCGGAACGUACCUUUCAGUGGGGGAUAACGUAGCGAAAGUUACGCUAAUACCGCAUAUUCUGUGAGCAGGAAAGCAGGGGAUCGCAAGACCUUGCGCUGAUUGAGCGGCCGAUGUCAGAUUAGCGAGUUGGUGAGGUAAAGGCUAACGAAGGCGACGAUCUGUAGCGGGUCUGAGAGGAUGAACCGCCACACGUGGACUGGGACACGGCCCAGACUCCUGCGGGAGGCAGCAGGGGGGAAUUUUGGACAAAGGGGGAAACCCUGAUCCAGCCAUGCCGCGUGAGGAAAGAAGGCCUUCGGGUUGUAAAGCUCUUUCGGCCGGAAAGAAAUCGCACAGGCUAAUACCUUGUGUGGAUGACGGUACCGGAAUAAGAAGCACCGGCUAACUACGUGCCAGCAGCCGCCGUAACAA
rnacentral:rRNA from 1 species